UUGGACAAGGUUGAAGUGAAGAAGAGGAAGGUUAGAAAAGACUCUGAGUCUGAAGAGAAUGUUAAGGAAGAUGUCCCUGACAUCUCCCCUGUGAAGAAAAACACUGUGAGGAAGUCCCCUGGUAAAGUUGUUGUUGUGCAUUUGGAUAAUAUCUCUUUCCAUCUUGAGGAUGGAGUUGCCAAAUGGAAAUUUGUGAUUCAAAGAA
rnacentral:lncRNA from 1 species